rnacentral:rRNA from 1 species
UUGACCUCGGAUCAGGUAGAA